CUCGAUCACCUCCUCGAUGGUUCUGAACUUGAGGAUCUGCAUCACCGGCCCGAAGAUCUGCAAAAGGCCAGCAGGGGACACGGGAACGGGGCUGCAGCGCUGAGGCACACGGGGGGAGGAAUUCUGGGUCUGGUGCAGCCUGGAGAGCUGCAGCACUCACCUCCUCCCUGGCGAUGGUCAUGCUGUCCUGCACGUCCCCAAACACCGUGGGCUGGAUGAAGAAGCCCCUGUCUGCAGCGGGGCUGCCACCACACAGCAGCUUGGCUCCCUCCCUCUGGCCCGUGCUGAUGUAGCCCAGGAUCUUCUUGAACUGCUCCUCAUCCACCUGAGAGGCAGCAGGGACACAGGUCUGUGGCAAGAGAACGGGAGUGCAAAGAUCGUGGUGCUCGCCAGGAACUUGCAGAACGCCCAGACAACCACCAAGAGCCUGGGCACAGCCAGCGGGGAAGGAGUGCCCGGGUGCCCUGGAACGCUGCCUUGCAGCAGCACCUCGCACAGGGUGCUGGAUUCCCGGGCAGUGGCUCCUGGGCAGCCCUUCACAAAGUGGCACUCACAAGGACCUCUUGUUCCGAGUGUUCUGCUCCUGUCACAGCCCUGCGCGUGUCAAACCGCCCGUGGGGGAUGCCAGACCUGUUCUCCCUGCACAGAUGUGCCCGUGUGUCCCGAGGGAGCGGCUCAAGGUGUCCCCAGGGCACGUCUCAGAGAUGAGCUCCAGCUCGGGGCUCUCCGAGUGUCCUUCUGUGCAAUCCCGGCAUGGACAACCACGGCACCGGGCACUAGUGCGUGUUAAAAAAAGCCUGUGGCUCUCUCGAGCAGCCCCUUCCCUCCCCUCAGCGUGGCGGCAGAUCCAGCAGCACCAAAACCCCCAGGGCUGUCCCCUGAGCCUGCCCCAAGGAGGCGGGAGGGGCAGGAGUCAGGUGCCUGCUGGGAAACCAUCCCAAAUAUCUGGGCUGGGCAGAGACAGGCUCAGCUCCCUCCCCCUUCCACAGCAGAGCCAAAUGCCCGAGGCUGAGGUGGAAUUUCACCCUGGAGCUUGGGAGAAUCCAAGGCUCGGGUUACCGGCUUCCCUUCAGCCUCUUGGACCUUGUGCUGAGAGGCAGCACGGCCCCCAGGGCUCUCUGCAGCACCCUCGUGCCCCUGAGGGCUGCCAGGUGGUGCCAGCCUGGGCACAUGGGCUGGGAGCUGCACCCACGCUGGAGGAGCA